AGGUUGGGUUGUUUUUUUGCAUUCUGGUUUGUGUUAUUUUGUUUGACGACUGUUAAAGUGGUCUCCUCCGUCAGAGAAGGCGGUGAGGAGGUCAACAUCAGUGGAGAGGUCAAAGGGCAAAGCUGCCCCUGAGUCGGGUUUCUCCUGCGGGAGAGACGACUGGGUCUGGGGGUUGAACAGUUAAAACAAUGUCGUCCGGAGCCGCCGGUUUGAUGAAGGCUGUGAGGAGUAACCUUGGAAGGAGGAGGCUUCUGUGGUACUGUGUUGUAGGUACCCAAUAGGCUAAAUCUGUUUUUAUAAGAGUUAGCCAUUUUAAAGGGGGACCCAGACUAAUUCAAAAGAAAAAGAAAAGCGGGGAAGGGGUUGGGGUAUAAAAAAAGAAAAGAAAAAGGGAAAACAGAAGAAAAAUGCAAAACAAACUAUAAUAAGGUUAAACCGCAAUUCGCAUUGAAAAAAAGAUUUGCUAGAACAGAUGUAGUUGUGGUU